rnacentral:misc_RNA from 1 species
GCAUUUUUGGGAUUGCUUAGGCUUUUGGUUGCUUGCUUGGUCUUUGUACUAUGCGGGUGGCUACUAGUCGGGUGGUUUCGGGAAGUGUUUACCGUAAAGGUGCAUGAGUGGUGUUUGGUUUGUUAYGGGUGGUUGGAUGUCUUCUAGCGAAGCAACUUCCACGCGUGCUUACCUCUUCAUUUAUGUGGCAAGACUUGUUUUUUCUUGCUCGUAUUGUGGGUUUCCUGUGUUGCGUACCUAAUCGAAGGCAUUGUAUGGACCGAUUGAAGCCGUUUUCGUCAUGCAUCACAAUUGUGGUGUGUGACGAACUAGGAAGUGGUCUUUGUAAUCCAUCUCGUGUUGUUAUCGCUUCGACGAUGUGGCUUGCUGAGUUCUGCUUGGUCUCUUGGAUACUGAACCUGAUGUGGGCAUGGGAUCCUAAACAAUCCUUUUUUGCCCUCGUUUAGCGUUCUCGCUUCUCUAAAACGAUCACUCGUCGUGCGUUGGCUUGUCCAUGCAUGGCGGGUUGCAUCGAAGAGGAAUGCUACCUGGUUGAUCCUGCCAGUAGUCAUAUGCUUGUCUCAA